GAUUCUAACAUAUCUGAUGUUAAAGGUGUUACAGGAGCAUCAGCACCACCCAUACCAGCUUGAAUUUGGUUACGAAGAUCGUCUCGAGAAACAGCCUUUUGAAAUUCUUUGUCUCCAGCUUGCCUCUUUUGAAUACGAUUAAUUAAAUCUUCAGUAUCACGAGAAGGCGAAACACCCAUUCCUAAAUCAUACUUUUCAACACCUUUACGUAAGUUUGCACUAUCAAUAAUAGAUGUUUCUCUUUUAUCUAAAUUACCGCUUUGUCUCAUUCUUGAAGCUACUUCUUCCGUACUUAAAGAAGGUGUUAUAGGCUGAUCAGCAGAAGACAAACCAGCUUUUCGUUCUUGUGCAGCUAUUCUAGCUUCUAUUGGAGACACAGAAAGAGGACUACGGCCUAAUUCUUUAGGAAGAGGUUCUUGUUCUAGAGGCAUACCUGCCUUGUUAUAUCCUUUUUGUAGUUGUUCCAUUCUAGCUUCAUAAGUAGGAGGAUCAAUAAGUCCUCUUUCUAAAGCAUCUACUAAAGCUUCUAUAUCUCUACCAAUAGGAUUUUGAUAAUUAGGAUCAGUAAAUCUACUACGAGUAGGAGGUACAAAUCUACCCCCUCCUUUUUUCUUUACAACAAUAGAACCUAGACCACUAUUCUGAUCUACUUGUCCACCACUCAUACGGCUAACAAGUCCACCCUGUGCCUUACCAAAGCCACCAAAUGCUCCAGCAAGACCAAUAGCUGUAGUUCCUAGACCUGCUGCUUGUUGAAGAUAACUAGGAGCAGGAGUAGUUGUUUGUGUUUGUCGGUAAGUACUAGGUGCAAGAGGGAAACCACGAAUAACAGAUUGAUAUUGUUGUAGUGUUUGUUCAGGAAAGAUUUGUUCUUCUUCAAACUGUUGUUUAGCUAUAUUUAAUCCUUGUUGUGAUUGUGCUUGACGUUGUGCGCCUACAGCUUCAACAGCAGUUAAUUCUUUUAGAGCUUGUUGUGGGACAACCUGACCUAAUUGUGCAAACUGACUUGAUCCUGUAAAUUCACGUUGACGCUGUUGAGCUAACCUUGCUUGAGCAUCUUCAUAUGCAGCAGCUAUACCACGAGUUUGAAUAUCUCCUAAUUGCUGUUGUAGAUUACGGUUUUGUUCAGCCUCUAGGAUAGCCAUACGUGAGCCUCCAUAGCCACCAGCACCAACUGCUUGCGCUGCUAGUCCUUGUUGAGCUACAUCUCCUUGACGAAGAGCCUCACGCUUUUGUAUGUCAACAACCUGUUGUACAUAAGGUGACAUAUA
rnacentral:rRNA from 1 species